rnacentral:lncRNA from 1 species
GUCCAUUAUAUUAGAGACUAACUAAGGCCUCGUUUGUUUGCAGGAACUGGACAAGGAGUCUCCGGACUAAUAGCUCCGGACUACUGGCCCCGUGAUUAUAUCAUGUAAGCCGUUUAUUUUGCUCCGGACAAAACUCGAGAUAAGUGGUUAGUUCCAGUUUUGUUCAGUGUGUGAUGCUAAGCAAUAGGAAUGGGACAAAUUGAGGAAAUGACAAAAACAUACCCUUUUACAUUAUCAGUUUUAUUUAUUUUGGAUAAAUAAGUUUUCUUUUUUAAAAAUUAAAACGUUUUUCUGCAAAAAUAUUUUUUUUAAAUAUUUAAUAAAAAAUAUAUAAAAAAAUAAUUUUGAAAUAUAUAUUUUUUGAAAAACAGUUUCAGAAAAUAUAAUGUUUUUCUUGUAUAGUAUUUAUUUAUAUUUUUUACUAAUAUUAAAUAAUAAAUUUUAAUAUUCGUGAUAUUUUUAAUUAUUUUUAGUAAAAAAUGUAAAACUUUGAUUCUCUUACGAGAUAAGGACUGAAAAUAUAUAAAUUUUUUAUUUAAUUUUAAAUAUAAUUUAUAAAAAUUAUUAUUUUUGAAAAAAAAUAUUAUUUUAAAACAAUAACUUUAAUUUUUUAUAAAAGCAAAAUAUUAUAUUUUUAAAAAUUGUUCGCAAUAAAAUUAUAAUUCCAAAAUUAUUUUGUUUAAUAUUUUUUUCGAUUAAAUAUUUUUUAAAAAAAAAGAUUUUUUUAGAAAAAACGAUUAAAUUUAAAAAAAAAAACUUGUUAUCCAAAAAAACAAAACUGAUAAAAAUUCAAUUUAAUAAAAAAAUUAAAAAAAUAUAUUUAAAAAACUAAUAAAAAAAAGAAAAGGAAAAAAAAUAUAAAAAAAAUGAUUUAGAGAGAGGAGCAGAGAGAGGAGAGAGAGAGGAAGAGAAAUUAUUCAGGUGUAAGGGGACAAAUUAGUAUUUUAUAUUAAUCCGACUAGGCUGGUCCGCGGACAAGUGGUGCCCACCCCACCCCCCCACCCCCGGGACAGCAUAGGCCCCACAUACGCCGGACUAUUAGUCCGUUCGGACGAAAUAGUCGGAGUUAUUUGUAACAAACGCCGGCCUGGACUGGACUGUUAUCCAGUCGGCCUAGUAGUCCGGCGAAACAAACUGGCCUAAAGGUUCAAAGUUCAAUUGAGUACUCUACAAAUUAUAAGUCUCGUUGUUUGCCAGGACUAGACAAGAAGUCUCCGACUAAUAGCCCCGGACACUUGGCCCCGGAUAUAAUGUCGGACUGAAUCUAUCGUGUAGCCAUUUGUUUGCUCCGGAGAAAAAUUCUGGAUAAGUGGUAGUCCAGGUCUUUUACCAUGUGCGUUUGCUCAGCAUCGGAUGGACAAAUGAAAGAAAUGACCAAAUACCCUUUCACAUUAUCAGUUUUAUUUAUUUUGGAUACCAACAAGCUUUCUUUUAAAAAUUAACCGUUUUUUAUUGAAAAAAUAUUUUUUAAAAAAUUAUUUAAUAAACAAUAUAUAAAAAAAAUUAAUUUUGAAAUAUAUAUUUUAUAAAACAGUUUUCAGAAAAUAUAAUAGUGUUUCUUUUAUAGUAUUUAUUUAUAUUUUUUACUAAUAUGAAAAAUUAAUUUUUAAUAUUAGUUGAUAUUUUUAAAACUAUUUUGAUUAAAAUUUUAAAUUUUUUUUGGAUUUCUACUUAACGAGAUUAAGACUGAAAAAUGUAAACUUUUUAUUUAAUUUUUGAAAAAAUAAUGUGUAAAAAAUUAUUAUUUUUGAAAAAAAAAUACUAUUUUUAAAAAAAUAACUUAAUUUUUUAUAAAAUUAAAAUUUGUAUUAUUUUUAAAAAUUGUUUCUCAAUAAAUAUAUAUUUCAAAAAUUAUUUUGUUAAUAUUUUUUUUCAAUGAAAUAUUUUUUUAGAAAAACGGUUUUAAUUUAAAAAAAAAAACUUGUUUAUCAAAAAACUGAUAAAAAAAUUAAUUUAAUAAAAAAUUAAAAAAAUAUUAAAAAAACUAAUAAAACAGAAAAUAAAAAAAAUAACAAAAAUGAAAGAGGGCGGAGAGAGAGAGAGAGAGAGGGGACGGAGAGAGGAGAGAGAGACGGGAGAGGAGAGCGAGAAAAAGUAAUUUUACAUAUUAGUCCGGGACUUGGGCUUAUCCGGGGACAACUAGUCCCACCUUCCCGGGACAGGGAUAGUCCCAUGUAUGGGUGGACUAUGAGUCCGGUCGGACGAUUUGUCCGAAGUCAAUUUGUGGAAACAAAACACGGGACUGGACUGGACGGACUCGUUGUCCAGUCCCGACUAAUCCGGUGAAACAAACAUGGCCUAAGGCUCCCCAAUAUGUUAAAUUGAAAAUGAGGUAGGAAAUUGAAAUUUGAGAAAAGGUUUGAGGGUUAAAAAUGCAUUUUUUUCGUCAAAUAACAAAGCUAAUAAUCGUUUUUUUGCUAUUAGUUUUCUCUUUCUCUUUCUUUUCCAGGGAAAAAAUCAUGAUUCCUCGGUUUUCAUGUCAAAGGAAAAGAAAAUGAAA